AAGACCUUAAGUUAAGAUAAACUAUUAACCUUCAAAGUUAAACAUAUACACAAAAUUAGAUCUUA
rnacentral:tRNA from 1 species